rnacentral:rRNA from 1 species
AUGCAAGUCGAGCGGGCGUAGCAAUACGUCAGCGGCAGACGGGUGAGUAACGCGUGGGAACAUACCUUUUGGUUCGGAACAACACAGGGAAACUUGUGCUAAUACCGGAUAAGCCCUUACGGGGAAAGAUUUAUCGCCGAAAGAUCGGCCCGCGUCUGAUUAGCUAGUUGGUGAGGUAAUGGCUCACCAAGGCGACGAUCAGUAGCUGGUCUGAGAGGAUGAUCAGCCACAUUGGGACUGAGACACGGCCCAAACUCCUACGGGAGGCAGCAGUGGGGAAUAUUGGACAAUGGGGGCAACCCUGAUCCAGCCAUGCCGCGUGAGUGAUGAAGGCCCUAGGGUUGUAAAGCUCUUUUGUGCGGGAAGAUAAUGACGGUACCGCAAGAAUAAGCCCCGGCUAACUUCGUGCCAGCAGCCGCGGUAAUACGAAGGGGGCUAGCGUUGCUCGGAAUCACUGGGCGUAAAGGGUGCGUAGGCGGGUCUUUAAGUCAGGGGUGAAAUCCUGGAGCUCAACUCCAGAACUGCCUUUGAUACUGAAGAUCUUGAGUUCGGGAGAGGUGAGUGGAACUGCGAGUGUAGAGGUGAAAUUCGUAGAUAUUCGCAAGAACACCAGUGGCGAAGGC